rnacentral:rRNA from 1 species
GAUGAACGCUGGCGGCGUGCCUAAUACAUGCAAGUCGAGCGAACAGAUAAGGAGCUUGCUCCCUUGACGUUAGCGGCGGACGGGUGAGUAACACGUGGGUAACCUACCUAUAAGACUGGGAUAACUUCGGGAAACCGGAGCUAAUACCGGAUAACAUUUGGAACCGCAUGGUUCUAAAGUGAAAGAUGGUUUUGCUAUCACUUAUAGAUGGACCCGCGCCGUAUUAGCUAGUUGGUAAGGUAACGGCUUACCAAGGCAACGAUACGUAGCCGACCUGAGAGGGUGAUCGGCCACACUGGAACUGAGACACGGUCCAGACUCCUACGGGAGGCAGCAGUAGGGAAUCUUCCGCAAUGGGCGAAAGCCUGACGGAGCAACGCCGCGUGAGUGAUGAAGGGGUUCGGCUCGUAAAACUCUGUUAUUAGGGAAGAACAAAUGUGUAAGUAACUGUGCACGUCUUGACGGUACCUAAUCAGAAAGCCACGGCUAACUACGUG